GAAGGCACGACAUUGCUCACAUUGCUUCCAGAGUUUUUCAGGCCGGCUUAAUGCCGGCCCUUUUUU
rnacentral:antisense_RNA from 1 species